AUGAUGAAAUUUUUAGAAUGCUAAUUCAAUUCCCUUGCCAUAAUAUCUGUCACACACCUUCCAUAGCAGGCAGCUAGUCGGCUAUGGAGUCUCUCUGUCCCCACGCAGGAGUUAUCGCAUCCACAAGAUUGUCAUUCAAACCUCCCAAAACCCAGUCUCAGGCCCCGACUCCCAACCUCCGAUUCCCCUUCUCACCAACCCACAACAACCCUUUCAAUUUCCCUUCAUUUUCCUUCACUUCUUACACUUGUUUCUCCAUUCAAACAUCAUGCGCUGCUUCAACUUCAGCGACAGCAUCGGCUUCCACUUCUCUUCCUUCGUCUUCCGCUUCCAGCGACAACCGCCAUUGGGUGGUGCUCAUGGAGGCUCCUCCGCAAGGGGCGAUUUCCAGACAGCAAGUUAUUGAAUACUAUGUCGAAACCCUUCGAACCGUUUUGGGCAAUGAGAAGGAUGCUCAAAUGUGUAUAUAUGAUGCGUCUUGGGAUACCCAUUUCGGGUUUUGUUGUGAUAUUGACGAAGAAACUUCCUGCAAGCUCGCACGUUUACCGGGGGUUUUGUUGGUUAAGCCUGACCCGGAUUAUGUUUCUCAAAAGAAGGAUUAUAGUCCCCCAAAUGUUAGGUCAAGUAAUAUGUCGUCCUCUCGAAGUGGAAGUGCUUUGUUGUUUCCUCUUUUGAAUACAAAAAGGUGGCUUGUUCGAAUGGAUAAACCCAGCAUUGGGGUUGUUACAAAGGCACAAAUGGUGGAUUAUUAUGCUCAAAUACUAACAAAGGUCUUGGGGAACGAGAAGGAUGCACAAAUGUGUAUUUAUCAUGUUUCCUGGCAAUCUAACUUUGGGUUCUGUUGUGAACUUGAUGAAGAGUGUGCACAGGAAGUUGCUGGUGUUCCUGGGGUUUUAUCUGUUGAGCUUGACAAGAAUUGGGAGUCGGAGAAUAAAGAUUAUGGAGGUAAUAAUUUACAGAAUUCUACCAAUCUCUCAACUUCUGGAGCGGCAAGUGAAACAACCCCCACAAAGACAAAGAAACUGUUUGUGACUGGCCUAUCGUUUUAUACAUCUGAGAAAACCCUCCGUGCUGCAUUUGAAGGGUAUGGAGAGCUUGUUGAAGUUAAAAUAAUAAUGGACAAAAUUUCUAAAAGGUCCAAAGGUUAUGCAUUCAUAGAAUACACCACGGAGGAAGCUGCUAGCGUAGCUCUCCAAGAGAUGAACGGCAAGAUCAUAAAUGGCUGGAUGAUAGUCGUUGACGUUGCCAAGACUAGCCCUCCAAGAUACAGUAGCAGGGGCCAGACCCGACCAGCAGCAACCAGAUGAAAGAGAGAGGAAGUUAUAGAGAGAUUUGCCGCCGAGAAAUGAAUUAUUCUGGAGAGAUGGCAGGAUCAGGAAAACAUGAAGCUGCUUACAUCUUUCUCUGCGGGUCAAAAAAACUGAAAUGGAUUGUUGAGUAAAAGUGGUUAAGGGCGGUUUAUUUGGAUUAUCACUCAAAUAAAUUAGAAUCCAACUUGUCUUCACAAAAAUUUUCUCUUUAAGUCCAU